CAAAACAUGGUCUUUUGUUUAUAUAAAAGAUCUGGCCUGCCCUAUGAUUUAAUUAAAUGGCUGCAGUAUAUUGACUGUACAAAGGUAGCAUAAUCAUUUGUCUUUUAAUUUAAGGCUAGUAUGAAUGGUUGGAUGAAAAAUAAACUUUCUUAUUUUUAUAUGAAAAAAUUAGUUUUCUAGUCAAAAAUCUGGGAUAAAUUUAAAGGACGAGAAGACCCUAUAGAACUUUAUUAUCAUUUCUUAUAAUAUUUAUAGUUUAUUAUAAAAUAAUAAGUUUUAGUUAAUUGUGUUGGGGUGACAAAAAAAAUAUUAUAACUUUUUUUAAUUAUAUCAUAUAUUAAUGUUAUUUUGAUCCUAUAUUAUGGAUUAUAAGAUUAAGUUACCUUAGGGAUAACAGCGUUAUUUUCUUGGAGAGUACAUAUCGAUAGGAAAGUUUGCGACCUCGAUGUUGGAUUAAAAUUAGUUGCAGGGGUAGAUUAUUGUUAACUAGGUCUGUUCGACCUUUAAAUUUUUACAUGAUCUAGUUUCCAACCG
rnacentral:rRNA from 1 species